GUCGUCAAUUUGGUUGUGAAAUG
rnacentral:miRNA from 12 species